UAAAUAUCUGCUGAUACUGAGUCCUGAUCCGAUAUUUGUAGUUGCUCAGAUAAUAGAGCUGCACACUGUUUUUUUGUUUACAAAAAUAACUAAGUAAACAAAGUAACUAAAAUAUGUCUUAAGCUUAAUAUAAUGUAACGUAGUGGAGG